GNAUCUAGCUUUAGGUCUGGGACAACCACUGGAAACGGUGGCUAAUACCGGAUGUGCCGAAAGGUGAAAGGUUAACUGCCUGAAGAUGAGCUCGCGUCUGAUUAGCUAGUUGGAAGUGUAAUGGACUCCCAAGGCGACGAUCAGUAGCUGGUCUGAGAGGACGAUCAGCCACACUGGGACUGAGACACGGCCCAGACUCCUACGGGAGGCAGCAGUGGGGAAUUUUCCGCAAUGGGCGAAAGCCUGACGGAGCAAUACCGCGUGAGGGAGGAAGGCUCUUGGGUCGUAAACCUCUUUUCUCAGGGAAGAAAAAAAUGACGGUACCUGAGGAAUAAGCAUCGGCUAACUCCGUGCCAGCAGCCGCGGUAAUACGGAGGAUGCAAGCGUUAUCCGGAAUGAUUGGGCGUAAAGCGUCCGCAGGUGGCAAUGUAAGUCUGCUGUUAAAGAGUCUAGCUCAACUAGAUAAAAGCAGUGGAAACUACAUAGCUAGAGUACGUUCGGGGCAGAGGGAAUUCCUGGUGUAGCGGUGAAAUGCGUAGAGAUCAGGAAGAACACCAGUGGCGAAGGCGCUCUGCUAGGCCGUAACUGACACUGAGGGACGAAAGCUAGGGGAGCGAAUGGGAUAAUC
rnacentral:rRNA from 1 species